UACGUAGGGGGCAAGCGUUGUCCGGAAUCAUUGGGCGUAAAGAGCGUGUAGGCGGUUCGGUAAGUCGGCUGUGAAAGUCCAGGGCUCAACCCUGGGAUGCCGGUCGAUACUGCCGGACUAGAGUUCGGAAGAGGCGAGUGGAAUUCCCGGUGUAGCGGUGAAAUGCGCAGAUAUCGGGAGGAACACCUAUGGCGAAGGCAGCUCGCUGGGACGUUACUGACGCUGAGACGCGAAAGCGUGGGGAGCAAACGGG
rnacentral:rRNA from 1 species